UAGGGAAUCUUCCGCAAUGGACGAAAGUCUGACGGAGCAACGCCGCGUGAGUGAAGAAGGAUUUCGGUUCGUAAAACUCUGUUGUUAGGGAAGAAAAAAUGUAUAGUAACUAUAUACAAAAGAGACGGUACCUAACCAGAAAGCCACGGCUAACUACGUGCCAGCAGCCGCGGUAAUACGUAGGUGGCAAGCGUUGUCCGGAAUUAUUCGGCGUAAAGCGCGCGCAGGUGGUUUAGAAAGUCUGAUGUGAAAGCCCACGGCUCAACCGUGGAGGGUCAUUGGAAACUAAUAAACUUGAGUGCAGGAGAGAAAAGUGGAAUUCCUAGUGUAGCGGUGAAAUGCGUAGAGAUUAGGAGGAACACCGGUGGCGAAAGCGGCUUUUUGGCCUGCAACUGACACUGAGGCGCGAAAGCGUGGGGAGCAAACAGG
rnacentral:rRNA from 1 species